UACGGAGGAUCCGAGCGUUAUCCGGAUUUAUUGGGUUUAAAGGGAGCGUAGGUGUAUUGUUAAGUCAGUUGUGAAAGUUUGCGGCUCAACCGUAAAAUUGCAGUUGAAACUGGCAGUCUUGAGUACAGUAGAGGUGGGCGGAAUUCGUGGUGUAGCGGUGAAAUGCUUAGAUAUCACGAAGAACUCCGAUUGCGAAGGCAGCUCACUAGACUGCAACUGACACUGAUGCUCGAAAGUGUGGGUAUCAAACAGG
rnacentral:rRNA from 1 species